GCGGUGGGCGGGGCCGGGUCCUGUCAGGGAUCACGGAGGGGUUGGGGAUGGCGGAGCGCGGGGGACGCCCGGUGCCACCCCCUGCCCGGGCAGGGACACCUCCCGCUGCCUCCAAAGCCCGUCCAACCCGGCCCUGAACGCUUCCCGGGGAGCAGCCUCGCCUUCUCUGAGCGACCUGUGCCACAGCUUCACCGCCCUCCCAGGGAAAAUAUUCCUCGUAAUAUUCUGACUGAAUUUUCCCUCUUUCUGUUUGAACCCGCUCCCCCCUUGUCCUGUCACUUCAGUUCCUGCAGAAAAGUCCCUCUCCGGCUUCUGUAACCCCUUCAGAUCCUGGAAGGUGCUGUGAGGUCUCUACACCACCUUCUCCAGGCUGAGCAUCCCCAGCUCCCUCAGCCUUUCCCCAUGGGGAAGGCGUUUCCUGCCCUCUUCUCUCCCCCUGAGGCCCUUCUGGGCUCUGCUGGGCUCCCCUUGUGCACAGGCUGCUCCCCACGGUGCCCCCCAGGCUGGAUCAGACCCCUCAGUGAGGGCCAUGGCAGCAGCCAGGCCCUGUGGUGGGUCCCUCCUCAGCCCUGGGACCCCCUUGGCAGAGGGGUCCCCCCUGGGUGCUGUGUCCCCCCAUGGCCAUGGGGCUCAGAGUGCCCCCCAGGCUGGAUCAGACCCCUCAGUGAGGCCCAUGGCAGCAGCCAGGCCCUGCGGUGGGUCCCUCCUCAGCCCUGAGACCCCCUUGGCACAGGGGUCCCCCCUGGGUGCUGUGUCCCCCCAUGGCCAUGGGGCUCAGAAGGGGGACACUGGCCAAAAGGACCCCCCUGAGCCUCCCUCAGACCAGCCUCUGUGAGGUGAGACCAAAAAGAAAAAACCCAAAAAAAAAAAAGACUGAAGCUUUUCCUACCUCAGCCCUGCAGCAUCGUCCACAGGGAGAUGUGGGAUGGUUGUUUACAGGGAGGGGUGAAGUGGUUGUUUCCAGCUCAGCCGUGGAUCUACCAGCAAGUUCCAGCUUCUUCCUGGGAGCUAUGGCAACAGCAGACGUCUGAACAUCAGGUAAAAAAACAGAGAAAUCUCACCAACAGCCAAAGAAACGUGGACUGGUACCAGGAAAUAUCUGGAAGCAUGAAAAAAAAAAAAAAUCUGUUUUUCUAGUAAUGUUCUUUCUCUGGGCAGUACGUAUGUGUGCCACUAGAUGUCCUGGCAGCAUCAGCUCUUACACCACCGGAGCUACAACACAGGUUGGAAACAUCGGAUGAUUUAUUCUAAAAAACUCCUGUUAGGUAUUUUCUUGGAAUUUGGUGGGGGGUGAGGGAGUUUUUUUGGAUUUUUUUUGUUUUGUUUGUUUGUUUGUUUGUUUUUAAUAUUGUAAUUAUUAUAAUCCUUGUGCACAGACCACCUCGGAAACCUGGGGAGUUCUGACUCCUGCGAAACAGCUGCAGCACAGGCUGUCCUGCAGAUAACAAGUAUCAGGAGCACUUUGACUGCUAGAGUGAUUGAGAAAUUCCCCUAUAAUUCUGAGAUUUGGUUCACCUGCAGAGCCUUUUUUUAGUCUGAGAAUGUUGCUUUGGGGAGCUCCCUUCAGAACCUUCCAUCAGAAGGAGAGUCAUCCUUAGCCCGAGGAAGAUUUCUAGCAAUCAGGGAUUUGUUUUUAUGCAACAGAAUGGAAAUUUUCUGAAGAUCUUUAUUUUUUUUUCAAUAUUUCUUCACCAUCUAUUAUCUACAGGUUAUUGUAGUACCUGUAAGUUCCCCAAUUACCUAUACCAAAUGAACAAAAAGUAGAAUUUAUAGCAUGUUUACUUUAUUUGGCUAUGCGUUUUUCUAAGAAUUUGUAUGUUAAAAUAUGUAUGUACUUAAAUUUACAUCUCUAUCAAGAUACAAAGUGCUUCUGACUGUCAUUAAUAAGCUGUAACAAUAAUUUUCCUUGUGACAUUGAUUUGUUUCAUUGUGUCCACACAAGAUCACUUUGCUGUAAGGCUGCUGCUCCCAGUACAUGCACUUGUUCUUAGGCUGGAUAUCUUUUUUCUUUACUCCUUAAUUGUAAUUAAACAUGUAUUUA
rnacentral:lncRNA from 1 species